rnacentral:misc_RNA from 1 species
CGUGAGCAAAAAUGUUAUGGAUGUUACAUAUUGAAGGUUACUUUCAGGUAGCUUGUACAUGAGUCCCCCUUGUGUGUAUUGUGUAGAACUAGAGGGAGAGUUGGGUAAGAUCUUGCAUAUGAAAUUUUCAGCUUCUUCUUUGUACUGCUCAAAAUUCUUGUCAUUGUUGAGCAGAGCCCUCCUUGACAAGAGCACAUGAGCGCCAGCAUACUUAUUGUCCCAGCUGAAAAGGUCUGGUUGG